rnacentral:lncRNA from 1 species
GAAGAAAAGCCACCCUGGGAGCAAAGCAAGUUAGGGUUGUAAGAGACAUUUCUGAGAUUAAAGCAGCCAGAUCUAUGAUGGGGUGGGUACGGGUGGUUAAAGAGAAACAGAACGUGAGAAUGACUCAUGAGACUAUUAAACUGACUUAACUGAAAUUUUAAAAAAGGGGGAAAUACCAACUACGAUGCACCCCCCCCACCCCCACCACACCAUGUUUUAAUGCUACUCAAGGUCUAUGGCUGGGAAAGGCCACUUGUUUUUCUUCAGUUAAUGCUGAGACUGUUUGUCUGCCAGAGACACCCCAUAGAGGAUCCAUCCUUAGACCUCAGUUAACGGCCUGGAUCUGGAAAGUGGUGGCUUCAAACAAAUCCAGCCCCUGCAUCCUCCAGAGAUCACAGCUGACAUAGAAUGUAUGUGUCUGCGGCAGGCAGCCAUGUGUGCAUCAGCCAGCAGCCUCCCCAUCAGCACCCUACAGUGGAAUUGUGGGGCUUCCCCCAACA